rfam:Callithrix jacchus chromosome 22, whole genome shotgun sequence
UCUCAUGCUGUGACCCUCUAAAGGGAAGUGCUUUCUGUCCUCUGAGACAAAAACAAAGGCCUUCCCUUUAGAGUGUUACCAUUUGAGA